GGAAGGAGUAAUAUAACUGGGAAAGUAAUUAUCAGUAAUUCUCACACUCUUUCCCUAACCUUCCUCAUCUGGCAUCUAAUAGACAAGGACGCUGGACUAGGCGGACCCUGAGGCUGGCCAUUAAGGCGGGUUCUACUUAGGGACUUGUUAGAAGACAGAAGAAGGCAUCUGCAUUAAUUAAAUGCAAUAUUUCUUUCCCAGAGCUUUACUGUUGCAUCUGCUCGCAACAACCAGAAGAACAUAUUCUUGCGCUUCAUGGUAACAAAGCAUUUGCAGAGAAAGAAAUGCAGCGGUUACAGUAUCCAUCAGCGGCUACGAGCGGCUACACUAGAGCAGAGGCACAGCGAGGAUGGAGCCUGAGCUUUCAAAUGGAGCUUCAGAAGGAGGGUGGAGCUCUGCAGAUCCGAGGCUGUAGGGAGUGCCUGGAGCAUUUCACUGUGGCGAGGGCAGUGGGAGGUGGUCCCAGCCUGCAGGAGAUGUGCCAUCAUUCAGAUACUGUCACCGUGAGAAGAUACCACCAGGCUGGGCAGCGAUGCAAGAAAAGAUGUUUUUAAGUGCGAUUGUAAGUUUGAGAGGUUUGUGCAGAGAUUGUAAAGUCUCCAGUCUCAGAGAUGUUCAGAAACCUGCUGGACACAGUCCUGAGCAGCCUUCUGUAGCUGACCCUGCUUUGAACAUUGGGGUCAGACUAGAAGAUUGCAGAGAUCCCUGCCAGUCUCUGCAGUCCUGUGAAUCUGUUAUCUGUUAUUCCACUGAUUGCAAAAACACAACUCUUUUUUUUUUUUUUUUUUUAAAUUCUGUUUUCUUCUGGUAUAAUUUCUGCUGCAAAAUUCUCCUUCUUCUAUUUUUUCAGUCACAUUCUGUCUAAAUUCUGUUUCCUACUGUGCAUUCUUCAAAUUAUAAUCCUCAUUUAUAAGCCAGAAGUAGAAUAUGCGCUGCUUUCCUAUACAGAACCAACUGAUACGUUUUCAGUAUUCUUGAAGGUGUAAAAUAGGCCACUACUGCUUCUUGAAUAUAAUUCCAGCAUAGAAAUAUGUUGCUCAAGAACAUAGUUCUCACACAUCACAGAUCAUGUCAUCUUGUAGUAUUGAUCACAUUGUUUCCUGAGGCAUUCUAUUUAAAAUACCAUCACUGUUAAAACAAGUGUGAGUUUCAUUCACUUGUUUAAAACCAGAUAAUUUUUUAGGCCUACUACCAAUUAUUUUAAAACCUUAUUAAUUAAAUCUUAUUUCUUGAAACCAUGUGGCUGAGCAUGUCAAUGCAUUAAUUAUUUUUGUAAUAUCCUCCAGCCUGUGCUGCCAUUUUCCUUCCUACCAGAUUUGUGCAUUGUCAGAUCAGCUGACAGGAAAAAAUGACCUUUUUUUUUUUUUUUCCUUUUUUUACUUGCCACCGGAUACAAGGAUACAAUGCAAUGUUUAUAUUGGAUUUAUGUUUUAUGGUGGCCUAUGGAGGACACAAUACGUGAUCCAGCAUAAAGUCCAUUUAGAAAAGUUACCCUUCAAAAUGCUUUGAGUGAAUUAGCAGGAGGGACUUGAAACUAGCUCAUAUGGCUGUGGGUUUAUUAAAUAGAUAGUUACUGCAGCUUUACUGUGUCAUUGGACCACGUCUUAGCCAGGCUCGUUCUUAUUUGUUCUCUUUGUCUGAAUGAAUCUUGCAAAACCUAC